AAGGGCGGAUGUAGCCAAGUGGAUCAAGGCAGUGGAUUGUGAAUCCACCAUGCGCG
rnacentral:tRNA from 1 species